AUAGCGGAGGAAAAGAAACUAACAAGGAUUCCCCUAGUAACGGCGAGUGAAGCGGGAAGAGCUCAAAUUUGUAAUCUGGCACUUUCAGUGUCCGAGUUGUAAUCUCGAGAAGUGUUUUCCGCGCUGGACCGCAUACAAGUCUGUUGGAAUACAGCGUCAUAGUGGUGAGAACCCCGUAACUGAUGCGGAUGCCCAGUGCUUUGUGAUACACUUUCGAAGAGUCGAGUUGUUUGGGAAUGCAGCUCAAAAUGGGUGGUAAAUUCCAUCUAAAGCUAAAUAUUGGCGAGAGACCGAUAGCGAACAAGUACCGUGAGGGAAAGAUGAAAAGCACCUUGGAAAGGGAGUUAACAGUACGUGAAAUUGUUGGAAGGGAAACGCUUGAAGUCUAGACUUGCUAUGUGGAUUUAUUCGCUUCGCAGGCCAGCAUCAGUUUCUGGGGGUGGAAAAGGGUUGGGAGAAUGUAGCAACUCCGGUUGUGUUAUAGCUCCUUUCUGGAUUCAUCUUUGGGGACUGAGGAACGCAGCGCGCUUUUUGCAAGGCUCUCGAGCUUUUCGCGCUUAGGAUGCUGGUGGAAUGGCUUUAAACGACCCGUCUGA
rnacentral:rRNA from 1 species